rnacentral:rRNA from 1 species
UACGGAGGGUGCAAGCGUUAUCCGGAUUCACUGGGUUUAAAGGGUGCGUAGGUGGGCAAGUAAGUCAGUGGUGAAAUCUCCGGGCUUAACCCGGAAACUGCCAUUGAUACUAUUUGUCUUGAAUACUGUGGAGGUCAGCGGAAUAUGUCAUGUAGCGGUGAAAUGCUUAGAUAUGACAUAGAACACCAAUUGCGAAGGCAGCUUGCUAAACAAAUAUUGACGCUGAGGCACGAAAGCGUGGGGAUCAAACAGG